rnacentral:tRNA from 1 species
ACUUUAUUAGUAUAAACGUAUAACUGACUUCCAAUCAGUAGGACCCAAACACCAUUUGGGAUAAAGUA